GAGACUUUAGGUCUCCUGAAGGAACGUUGAAGACGACGACGUUGAUAGGCCGGGUGUGUAAGCGCAGCGAUGCGUUGAGCUAACCGGUACUAAUGAACCGUGAGGCUUAACCUUACAACGCCGAAG
rnacentral:rRNA from 2 species